rnacentral:tRNA from 2 species
GAUUUUGUAGUUGAAUGCAACGGCGGUUUUUCAAGUCGCAGGUCCUGGUUAAGUCCGGGCAAAAUUA